rnacentral:rRNA from 1 species
UCCAGACUCCUACGGGAGGCAGCAGUGAGGAAUAUUGGUCAAUGGGCGCAAGCCUGAACCAGCCAAGUCGCGUGAGGGAUGACGGUCCUAUGGAUUGUAAACCUCUUUUGUCGGGGAGCAAGGCCCGCCACGUGUGGCGGGAAGGAGAGUACCCGAAGAAAAAGCAUCGGCUAUCUCCGUGCCAGCAGCCGCGGUAAUACGGAGGAUGCGAGCGUUAUCCGGAUUUAUUGGGUUUAAAGGGUGCGUAGGCGGAAGGUUAAGUCAGCGGUCAAAUGUCGGUGCUCAACACCGGCCUGCCGUUGAAACUGGGGGCCUUGAGUGGGCGAGAAGAAGGCGGAAUGCGUGGUGUAGCGGUGAAAUGCAUAGAUAUCACGCAGAACCCCGAUUGCGAAGGCAGCCUUCCGGCGCCCUACUGACGCUGAGGCACGAAAGUGCGGGGAUCGAACAGGAUUAGAUACCCUUGUAU